CUUGACAAACUUAUAAGAGGUCCAGCCUGCCCAGUGACUCUGUUCAACGGCCGCGGUAUCCUAACCGUGCGAAGGUAGCGUAAUCACUUGUUCUUUAAAUGAGGACUAGUAUGAAUGGCACCACGAAGGUUAUACUGUCUCCUUUUUCUAAUCAGUGAAACUAAUCUUCCCGUGAAGAAACGGGAAUAAAAAUAUAAGACGAGAAGACCCUAUGGAGCUUUAAACAAAUAUACACCUGCCUCUUUACCAAAAAAUUUCAGAAGACAAGUAGUCACCCAGGCAUUUUGAUAUAGCGUUUUAGGUUGGGGUGACCGCGGAGCAAAAAAUAACCUCCGCAGCGAACGGGAGUAUUCCCUAAACCAAGGGCCACAACCCCAAGUAUUGAUAAAUCAACACUAAUUGACCCAAUAAAUUUGAUCAAUGAAC
rnacentral:rRNA from 1 species